rnacentral:lncRNA from 1 species
UGUUUUGUUUUACUAGAAAACAUGAUUUUGAAUUUUCUGCCAUUGAUUCCUUAUUUUUUUAAACUCCCAAAGGGACUCUGUUGUAGCAGGUCUGUGGACUAGCAUUUGAGAAACACCAAUCUAGAGCUGUGGGUCUUAAAACUUCAGUAUCUAUAAGAAUUACCUGGGAACCUGUUAACAAUGUGUAUUCUCAGCCUUCAACCCAAGAAAGUCUGGUUCAGAAGGGCUGGAUGCUGAGCUGAUGGCUUCUUGAGCACCACAUCACAACCUCACAUCUUCCUCUAGCCACUGCUACAGAGACCAAUUCUAUGGCUUCCACAGUUCCAUGCAGAUGUGACCUUUACGGCACCUUGCACCAGGCCUGUGUGCCUGUAUCUCUCACUUUCUGUUCCAGAGCUUCUCUAAACACCAGGGUAAGAGAUGCCCAGAGGAACCACUCAUCAUUUACUGACAACAUUUUACUUGAUGUACCCUCAUAUAUUCAUUAUAGCUGAUUUUUUUUUGGAUAGUGAAUUUUUGUAGACUUUCUAAAGCAGAUUUUAUACACAUAUUUAGAUUGCCAGAAUUCAGAUAGUAAGGGAGACCCACACUUGUGAAACCCUCUGAUAAUCCCAGGGACUUCUGCAUCCUUGUAUGCCUAUCCCCUUGGAUUUUGUUUUCAUGCUCUUCUCUUCAGACAUAACCCCCUUAGCUAUUAAUUUUAUCAUUUGGUUUGUUUGUUUACAAGUCUUCUUAAAUCUUGUGUGGAAGGAAGAAAAUAGAAAAUCAUUUCAGAUACAUGGAUUGUUUGCAUAUUUAUUCAAACCAAACCCUGGUGUUGAUAUGACAGGAAAACAGAGGAAAGGAAAUUAAGAUUACUUGAGGAAGAACUAAGCACUUAGUAUGUAUCAUUACACUUAAUUCUCACAGAAGUUCUAUUUCACAGAGGGUAAAACGGAGCAUCAGUUAAGGUAAGUAGGCUUGUGUGGGGUUUCCCAGCUGCUAAGUGGUGAAAUGGGUCUGAGGCUGGGUACAUCUCAUUCUAAACCCUGCACCAGUAAAUGCUGUUUUACUGAUUAUAAUCUGUAAAGCACUUGAUACAUGUAAAGUAUUAAAUUACUUACAUCUUCCAUUUAAUUGACUUCAUCAACCUCAGAAGCAUAGUAAUAUUUGUAUCUAAUAAAGAACAUUUCUGCUACCUUUAAAGUAUUUUU